UACGUAGGGUGCGAGCGUUAAUCGGAAUUACUGGGCGUAAAGCGUGCGCAGGCGGCGCGUUAAGACAGGUGUGAAAGCCCCGAGCUUAACUUGGGAAUUGCGCUUGUGACUGGCGAGCUGGAGUGUGGCAGAGGAAGGUGGAAUUCCACGUGUAGCAGUGAAAUGCGUGGAGAUGUGGAGGAACACCGAUGGCGAAGGCAGCCUCCUGGGCCAGCACUGACGCUCAUGCACGAAAGCGUGGGGAGCAAACAGG
rnacentral:rRNA from 1 species